AUGAUGAAAGAAGUAGCCAGAAGAAAACAGUGGAUACACAUAAACUACUACAUAACAUACACCAUACGCAUAGUAGUAGUAAUGACUUUACCAAAGAAAUGGUUAAUUAAUAAACUCACGCGCCAUGAAAAGAGUUCUUUAUUGGAAACAUAUUCAGCAAAAGGGAAGAUUGGAGCAUUUAAAAAUAAAAUGUCAGAUUUUUCAAUCAUGAGCUUAGAUUUGUGA